rnacentral:rRNA from 1 species
CAGUCGCCGCGGGAAUACGUAGGUGGCAAGCGUUGUCCGGAUUUAUUGGGCGUAAAGCGAGCGCAGGCGGCCAAUUAAGUCUGAUGUGAAAGCCCCCGGCUCAACCGGGGAGGGUCAUUGGAAACUGGUUGACUUGAGUGCAGAAGAGGAGAGUGGAAUUCCAUGUGUAGCGGUGAAAUGCGUAGAUAUAUGGAGGAACACCAGUGGCGAAGGCGACUCUCUGGUCUGUAACUGACGCUGAGGCUCGAAAGCGUGGGUAGCAAACAGGAUUAGAGACCCGUGUAGUCCCUGUCUCUUAUAC